rnacentral:rRNA from 1 species
UACGGAAGGUCCGGGCGUUAUCCGGAUUUAUUGGGUUUAAAGGGAGCGUAGGCCGUGGAUUAAGCGUGUUGUGAAAUGCAGGUGCUCAACGUCUGCACUGCAGCGCGAACUGGUUCACUUGAGUGUGCACAACGCAGGCGGAAUUCGUCGUGUAGCGGUGAAAUGCUUAGAUAUGACGAAGAACUCCGAUUGCGAAGGCAGCUUGCGGGAGCACAACUGACGCUGAAGCUCGAAAGUGCGGGUAUCGAACAGG